rnacentral:misc_RNA from 1 species
UCCACAGCACGUAUUUGGACAAUAGCAGAUGGGACAUCUAGAUCUAGUGUGCAGAAUAGUCAUCUAAAUGUGCUGGUGCUGAAGCAUGUCAAAGGUAGAACAAAUGAGAAGAGCAAAGAUGUUACAACAUUAGAUUGGAAUGGUGAGGGGACCUUAUUGGCAACAGGUUCAUAUGAUGGGCAAGCAAGAAUUUGGAACACAAGUGGUGAACUAAAGACUACUUUGAGUAAACACAAAGGUCCUAUAUUUUCUCUGAA